rnacentral:rRNA from 1 species
UACGUAGGGUGCGAGCGUUGAUCGGAAUUACUGGGCGUAAAGCGUGCGCAGGCGGUUCGCCAAGUCAGGUGUGAAAUCCCCGGGCUUAACCUGGGAAUUGCGCUUGAAACUGGCGGGCUUGAGUGUGGCAGAGGGGGGUGGAAUUCCACGUGUAGCAGUGAAAUGCGUAGAGAUGUGGAGGAACACCGAUGGCGAAGGCAGCCCCCUGGGUCAACACUGACGCUCAUGCACGAAAGCGUGGGGAGCAAACAGG